rnacentral:lncRNA from 1 species
UACUUUUUUUUUUUUUUUUUUUUUUUUUUAGUGAACAGCUGAUUUAACAGGAAGAGAAAACUCCAUGGAAAAGCAUCAGUGCAUAAAUUGCUCCUGCCCUGAACUCAAUGCUAUUAAUUCUUUGAUGCCAACAGUCAAAUUUUGUCAGAAAUGGAAUUCGCUUCGACACUGUCUGCCAAAUGGAUAGACGCCCAAAAAAAUGACAUUAAAUGAUAUUCAUGUUCUGACCAACUUACUAAAACAAGGCUAUUCUGAAUUAUUGUUGGCAUGAGACUUUCCUGUUUAAAGUUCAGCCGUCUUCGUCACCACAGUCGCAUACUUGUGAUUCUGACUAUUCACAAUCAUUUAUGUUGGACAAAUCGUCCUAACGUGCCAUCCUAUUUGAUACUGUAAAUAGAAAAAAAAGAAAAAGAAAAAGAAAAAAGACUAAGCUUCCAGAGAAGACAAUGUAAUAAUGCUGAUUUUACUUGAGAAUAGAUGUAGAAUUAGUGAGAAGAAUAAUCCUGUUUAUAUAGAUUCAGGGACUUUUUAAUGUACUCAAUGUAUCAAGUAAUUUUGAAACAAUACAGAGCACAGUAUUUAUUGCCAGGAAUCCUAAAGUAUUUCAGGAGCACCAGGCUCAAUUUCCUUCUAUAUGUCAGAAAAGGGUAAAGAGCUACGCCUUGCCUCUUGUGUAUUGUCUUUUAAUAUCCAGUUGCCCUUGGGCUCUGUGAGAAAAUCACUAACAGGGCAGCACCCAGCAAAAAGCCUAUACAGUUGAAUGUGUGUUCACCUUGCUUUAAAUAUUUCCUAAAAGAUAAAGCAAAAAGCGACACAAAAGGUCCUGAGAACAUGCAAUCCACCCCUAAGAGCAUUCCCCAGGGAGACUCUUUAGCUUCUGUCUCAUUUAUAGUCAAGAUAAAGGUCUCCUCCUCAUGGGAUGUCCUGAGAAGAAAUGCCCUUGUUGAAUUAGCAAUUCCUUACGUUUACAAGGUUCUAUGACAUUUGUAAAGAAUGUUCAUAUACGUUAUCUCAUUUGCUCUUCAUAGCAACCCAUUAAAUUGAUAGAGCAGGUAAUAAUACUCCAGCAAGAACCCGUAUGUUCUGAUUCCCAGGGCAGGACUUCCCAUCUCCCCGCCAAACCUCAGGUCGGAGAUUGGGGAAGGUUGCUUCAAAUGUCAUGGCAGUGCAUCACGGUCGGCCUCAUCAGAGAGUGUAAUUCAGAUUGUCUGCUAUCCAGAUCCUGUCAAAAGCCAGGCAUUUUGGGGAGAGAAUGAAUUUCUAGAGAUCAGUUUUACAGGAUGUGACAAAAGGCUUAAAAAUGCUCCAGCACUUUGACAUAGCAAUUCCACUUCUAGUAAUUUAUCAUAAAUGCAUGCAGAGAUAUAUGUACAACAAGGGUAGGUGCCUUACUACUUAAAAUAGGGGAAAAUGCCAAACUAAAAGUCUAAAAUUAGGAAGCUGUGAUGUAUAGAUAGAUAGAUCGAUCGAUCUCCAUAUAAUGGAAUAUGGGAGCGAAAUUAGAAACAGUGUUGUGUGGUGCUAUUAGUUGAUUAGGGAUAGUCUUCCUAGGACACUCAUAAAUGAAAAAUCAGACACAAAACCAGCAUAUACAGUAUAAGAGCAUUUUUAGAGAAAUAUGCGUUUUAUGCAUGAAAACAUUGACUAGAGACACGCAACAACGUAUAAACAGCUAUCUCUGGGUAGUUGGAUUGGAGGCGGUUUAUUUCUCUUUUCAUGUUAUCUGUUUCCCUGCGUGUGUGUGUGUGUGUGUGUGUGUGUNAUUCCCACCAGACAUGUAAAAAGAAGACCUGGCUGAGGGAAGUGACACGCUAAGAAGAUGGUAUAAGAUAUAUACUGUCCAGCCAUUUCUUUAAUUAUUCCAGAUGCUAACCUCAUGUUUAAUUAGAGCACAUAAGUUUUUUUUAAUUUUUAAAAAUUUAAUUAUGGGAAAUAGUUUGUCUUUCAAAAUUUGGAAUGUUUUCAUCUAGGUUCCAGAAUAUAAGGAAAGUUAUAUAAACCCCUUUGAUUCUCACUUCCCAUCACAUUCUAAAUGUAAACAACAUUUAAAAAUUAAUCCCAGUAGCUCUACAACGCUUAUGCUUAGGUUUUUUAUUGCUUCUUACUGUAGUAUCUUUUUUGUUUUUUAUUUCAAUUUUUAUGGCAUUAUUAGGCAUAUCUUUUAUUGUAAUCCUUCUCAUUGUCUUUGAAAAAACCCUUGGUAUAAAUAAUAUCCCCAGAAGUGAAUUGAAGAACCAUUCUUCUUUCUGUCCAUCUGAAAAAUUACGAAACAAUGUGUCGUUCUGUGGCUGUUGUGGUACAGUGGAACUUUUAGAGGAAAGGGUCAAAAAACUUUUAUUUAAAGUUUUUUGGGACACUGGAUGUUCUCUCUGGGACACUGGACAAGUCACUGUAUCUCUGUAUCUGUGAUCCUAUCUGAGAAAUUUUUCAAAUAAUCCAUAGGAGUGGAAGAUCCUGUUGUCUCACCCCUAAGAGCUAUUCCUAACCUCCUCCCUCUUGCCCCACCUCCCACUAGAGAGAGUGUGGAAAGUUAAAUGUUCACCUCCCCAUCUCCUUUGUGGCUGGGUGGGGCCCUGUGACUGAUACGUCUCUGGGGAAGAUUUGUGUCUCCUUUAUAGAAAAAAAAAAAAAAGUAAAUCUUUUUGCUUCCCUCCCCUACCAACAUCUGCUCCAGCUACCUCUUCCUUCCUAUUUUGCCUGGAGCUGUGCGAAACAUUUUGCAAACACAAGAUAACAAGCUUAUGAUUGAAAAGUCAGCAUGCCUAGAAUGGUGGAGGAAAAAGAUGGAAGGAGCCAGGGAUCUUGAUGGUGUCCCUGCACCACUGAUGCAAUGCCAGAACCCCGCUAAGUCUGGACUUACUCUAAUGUGCAAAAAAUAAAUCCCUGUUUGAUAAAACAACUGCCAUCCAGGCUCUCUGUUACCCAUAGCUGGGUGAUCCUGACAGUCAAUAUCAUAGAGUUGUUGUGAGAAUGAAAUGAAAUGAAAUAAUGUAUAUGCAGUUGCUUUACAAGCCAUAGGUAACUUUAGAGAUUUGUUAUUAUUUAGAGAGGCAAUGCAGAACGGUGGAAAAGGCACUCACAUUUAAGUUCGAAUAUUAGCCAUCCACCUUAUGAGACUUUGUUUGUAAGAAAAUGACCUAACUUCUCUGUGCAGCCAUUGUAUCAUCUGUAAAAUGGAGACGAUAAUAAGUAUCUGAGCAGGUUAUUGUGAGGUUGAAGGAGGUGAUACAGAGCUUGAUACAUCUUGCUCCUUAAGUGUUGGUUUGAGAGAAAAAUUAGCAAGUAGCAGUGAUGUGUGUUCUGCCCUAAAUGAAAAGACUUUCUUUUCCUGGUCAGAUCACACUGUCCUUUCAACAUGGACAUCACUAUGCAAAGUUUAGGACACUAAAAGAGACCUCAGAAUGCCCUAUUAAUAAAAAGGAGUAGGAAGAAUUUUAUUAGCUUACGAAGUUUUAUAGAGCUAGGCACAGUUCUGAGAGCUUCCCAUAUAGUGACUGAUUUAAUCUUCAUAUUAGUCCUGUGUGUCCUUUCACCUUAUUAGACAGAUGGGGAAAAGACGGUAGAGAAAAGUUAAGAAAUCCACCCCAGAUUACACACCCUAAUAAAUGGAGUGGUCAUUGAAUUCAGGCAGUCUGGGUCCAGAGCCUAUGACCUUAGCCUCAAUAUUAUGUUAAGUCUUCUUAAAGAAAUUAAGUACAUUACACUGAGCCUUCUAACUGAACAUGAAAAAAAAUUAUAUCUAAGCGAUCUCCGCUCUUAGGCUGGGAUGGUACUCCCCCCCCCAAAAAAAAAGAGAGUAUAGUUGAGAUUUUGGAAGAAAGAAAAAAUUGGGGACCAUUCCAUUCAGGAUAUGGAGGGUCAUUUCAGUUUCCAGGGAAUUGAAAUGGCAGAAAACUCAAAAUCCCUCUGGAGCUUCAUCACAUUAGGCCUUUCUGGGCAAACGUCCAGCCCAAGCUUCCUUAUUGAGCUUUUAAAUAAAAGGAUAAACCACUCCCUAAACAGAUGAGAAGCACUAGGCGGAGCCCAAAGAAGAAGGCUUGGAAUUUGCCUGGGCUAGUCAUUCUUCCUUUGUAGGAGACUAGAAGAUACCUUAAUAGAGAAAACGUGUUGGCAUUUUUGGCCUACUUUCCUGGGGAAGUAAUAAUAAUUAUCAAUGCCUUUUAUUCCUAUAAAAUGAAGAUUUUCUUUGGAGAUCUGAGUGAUAUGAGACUUAAGUUCCCAUUACGAUGUCCACAGAAUUCCCCAGAGUAAGCAGGCUUCCUAACUAGGCAUAAAUCUCUGAAAUUGUGAGACUGAGAGUAAUUAUGGGUGCACUUGAAAUGGAUAUAGUGGUUUCACACCCCUUAUAGUUUGUCUUCCUGUAUGGCAGAAGCUAGAAAAUUAAAAUAUACCAUUCCCAGAUUUCAUUACCACUCGAGUUCUGGAUGUGAAUUAGAUUCUGCCAAUUAGAGGCACUCACAUGCUAUUGAGAAUGUGGAAACAAGGAAAGGGGGAGCCUCACGGCACUUGACUGUUGCAGCGGGCUGCUGUGACCUUGAGUACCAGGGGAGCCAGCAGUGAGACACAUGGGUCUCUACUGCCUGUUCUGGGCUUUUGCUCCGGGAAGGAAUGACCUGACAGUUUUCCCAGGACCAACUUGGAGGUUAGUUAAAUCAAAGUAAGCUUUGCAGGCAGCAUGAUUUGGCGGAAAGAUAGCUAGUCCUCACUAAAUAGUCCUCACUUGUCACAUGGAAAGAAUCAAACUCAGAUGUUGCUGUAGGAAAAUGUGGGUGCAGUUGAAAGCUUGUGGUCUUUGCGUUGUGUGGUGCUGGGAUAUGUGGCACAUGAUUCAGCUACGAGGAUCUGAGUUGAGAAGGUCUUCAGUGAGGAGAUAGAUGGAGGCCACAACAGUUGUUCCAAGCAGUCUUACAGAGCCCUCAAGAACCAUGGUGCCGUGUCAAGAGGGAAUACAGAUCUCAUAGUCCCUAUGAGGGGACUAUGUCCCAAUAAACCCACUGUGAAUUGAAAAUGUUGUAAGUUGAGAAAGUACUUCGACGUACAUUGUGGCUGAACCCAGCCUAUUAAAUGGUUCAGAACACUUACACUAACCUACCAUUGAGCAAAAUCAGCUAUCAACACAAAGCCUGUUUCAUAAGACAGUGUUGAAGAUCUCAUGUAAUUUAUCAGAUGCAGUACUGAAAGGGAGAAACAGAAUGGUCGUAUGGGUACAGAACGGUGGUAAACUUAUCAGUUGUUUGCCCUUGUGAUCACGUGGCUGACUGGGAGCUGCAGGCUUGCUGUGGCUGUCCAGCACCACUGAGCAUUGUACUCCAUAUCACUAGCCCCGGAAAAUACCAAAAUUCAAAAUUCGAAAUAUGGUUUCUACUGAGUGCAUAUUGCUUUCCUAUCAUUGUAAAGUCAAAAAAAUCUUAAGUGGAACAAUCAUAAGCCAGGGACCAUCUGCACAACUGAAUCUUGGCCAACUGAGAGAGAAAAAAAA